rnacentral:tRNA from 1 species
UUAGCUUAGUUGGUAGAGCGCAUCCAUGGCAUGGAUGAGGUCAGGAGUUCGAAUCUCCUA